GCUGGGUGCAGUGGCGCACAUCUGUAAUCUUAGUGGCUUGGGAGGCUGAGGUAGGAGGAUCACAAGUUCAAAGCCAGCCUCAGCAACUUCGAAAGACCCUGUCUCAA
rnacentral:sRNA from 1 species